rnacentral:rRNA from 1 species
UACGGAGGAUCCGAGCGUUAUCCGGAUUUAUUGGGUUUAAAGGGUGCUCAGGCGGGAGAUUAAGUCGGCGGUGAAAUUUUGCAGCUCAACUGUAAAAGUGCCUUCGAAACUGGUUUCCUUGAGUGUGGAUGAGGUAGGCGGAAUUUGUGGUGUAGCAGUGAAAUGCAUAGAUAUCACGAGGAACUCCGAUUGCGUAGGCAGCUUACUAAACCAUAACUGACGCUCAAGCACGAAGGCGUGGGGAUCAAACAGGAUUAGAUACCCUGGUA